rnacentral:rRNA from 1 species
UGGGGAAUAUUGGACAAUGGGCGAAAGCCUGAUCCAGCAAUGCCGCGUGUGUGAAGAAGGCCUGAGGGUUGUAAAGCACUUUCAGUAGUGAAGAAAAACUUAAAGUUAAUACCUUUAAGUCAUGACGUUAACUACAGAAGAAGCACCGGCUAACUCCGUGCCAGCAGCCGCGGUAAUACGGAGGGUGCAAGCGUUAAUCGGAAUUACUGGGCGUAAAGCGCGCGUAGGCGGUUUUGUAAGUCGGAUGUGAAAGCCCAGGGCUUAACCUUGGAAUUGCAUUCGAUACUGCAUCACUAGAGUAUGGUAGAGGGAAGUGGAAUUUCCGGUGUAGCGGUGAAAUGCGUAGAGAUCGGAAGGAACAUCAGUGGCGAAGGCGACUUCCUGGGCCAAUACUGACGCUAAGGUGCGAAAGCGUGGGGAGCAAACAGG